UUGACAUACUAGGAGCUAACUGAGCUAGGAAAAAUAUGGGUUAUUACAGGACCCAUCGAGGUAGAAUCUCUAACCUGGACCAAAUGAUAGAGACACCCCUUGGAAAUUAAUUUCCGAGCUCUAAGAUACAAAAUAAAGCUUCCUUUAGGUACUAGGGAACUCCCCUCCCAUUUAAGAACCGGCUAAUUAGGGAAUUUAAAAAUGAUCUUACAGGUUCGACAAUCUAAAGAAGCAUAGCACGAGUGCAACCAGUCCAUCCCCAAUAUGAAAUCAAAAUCAACCAUGUCUAACUUUAUCAUAUCUAUCAAAGUUUCUCUAAUCUCUACCAUCAACAGACACCACACAACCCUUAUAGACUCUCCUAGCAACCACAGAGUCACCCGCCGAGGUACAAAAGAGUUUUGUACUUACUUGGUAAAUAAUAUAACUGUUAGAUACCAUUAAAAAAAGAAACUUCUUAAAAUAAUUCAAGGCUAAAACCUUUAAUUUAUCAAACAGAACCUCCAAAUUUCACCAAGCAAUACAAUUGCAAGUCUUCUUUUUUACUUCUAAUUUCUAAACUAUUGGUUUCCUGUAAAUAUAUUUUGUAAAUUUCUUAUAAUUUCUUCAUAAAGCUUCGCAAGUUUGGAAAAAAAGACUUGCAAUUAUAUUGCUGAGUGAAAUUUGACAAUUGAAAUUUCGUAUAAUUUCACAAUCUUUAAAUAAGGUGGAAAAAGUUUUAAGUUGUCCUCUGCUAGAGAAUGUUUGUGCUCUACUGCUUUUACUAAAAUCGCCAUAACUUCUCAACCGAGUAUCGGAUUAAGGCGAAACUGGUAUGUUGGAAAGCUGAUUCAAUUAUCUACACAUUGGUGGGUCUAGAGCUGGAAAAUUCUACUCUUAUCAAGAGUUAUACACUUGAAUUUGUCUCUUGACAUACUAGGAGCUAACUGAGCUAGGAAAAAUACGGGGUAUUAUAAGACCCAUCGAGGUAGAAUCUCUAACCCGGACCAAAUGAUAGAGACACCCCUUGAAAAUUAAUUUCCGAGCUCUAAGAUACAAAAUAAAGUUUCCUUUAGGUACUAGGGAACUCCCCUCCCAUUUAAGAACCGGUUAAUUAGGGAAUUUAGAAAUGAUCUUUCGGGUCCGACAAUCUAAAGAAGCAUAGCACGAAUGCAACCAAUCCAUCCCCAAUAUGACAUCAAAAUCAACCAUGCCUAACUUUAUCAUAUCUAUCAGAGUUUCUCUAAUCUCUACCAUCAACAGACACCACACAACCCUUAAAGACUCUCCUAGCAACCACAGAGUCACCCGCCGGGGUACAAAAGAGUUUUGUACUUGGUAAAUAAUAUAACUGUUAGUUACCAUUAAAAAAAGAAACUUCUUAAAAUAAUUCAAGGCUAAAGCGUUUAAUUUAUCAAACAGCAAAUUUCACCAAGCAAUACAAUUUCAAGUCUUUUUUUUUACUUCUAAUUUCUAAACUAUUG
rnacentral:lncRNA from 1 species